GUUGAUUCAGUGAUUGUUAUUAGCAGUAAACCCACACCAACAAUGCAGUCAUUUGUGGUUCUGAAAAAUGUAAAUGUCAAUUUUUGGUCUUUAAAAAUUAUUAAGCAUAGAAAAAGAUAGCAAUUUCCAGUGUUUGCUUGGUUGGUAAGAUGCAGGAGAAUUAGCAUUACUCUUGAGAGCUGCCAUUGGUUAGCUGGAGGGAAAAUGGAUAUCAAUUAUACAUAAUCUAAGAAGCCUCUGCAUAAUAAUCAGGCCCAGUAGGGGCUUUGGGGCAGCUUCGUUAUUCUCUUGUAAACACAAGAGCCCAGAUAGACAUGUCAGUCAGGAGUAGCGGCUGCAAUUCUUCCUUUUUAACACCUUCACAUUCUAUUGCUUCAAUAUGCAAACAAGGCUGUUUAGCUGGGGGUUGAGUCUGUGCUAAUGAGCUCCCUGCACUAACCCUGAAGUAAAAAGGUUCUGUUUCACAGCUGCUCAGAGACUAGCUCCUCUGGGCAUGCUCAGGUAUUGGAAAAUAAUUCCUUUUAAACUGAGAAACGCCAAUCAGGAUUUCUUGCAUACUUUCCCUUUUCUCAGUGUGCUAAUGCAAUUACCUCAUAACUUGUGAAGUUUUUACAGCAGCAGAAAAUGUUUUGUCUUUGAAUUAUGUAGUUUUGCCACCAAACGGAAAGAGAGCUUGAAAAAUUCAGCAGAUGUAAAAUUCACACCCUCCUUAAUUCCUAGAGGACCGUAACUCAAGGCUAAUUUUCACAUUUCCUUCUUAAAGUGGACGGUUCUUUUAUCUUUCCCUUCAAUACUUUCUCCUGAUAUUAUCAUUUCCAUUUCCCUUUUGCUGGCCAGUGUCACUCUGAGUGACAGAGGAGCCUCUGAGAACAAUACAGCCAACAUCAUUCCUGCUUGACAUUGAUGGGAUCAACUUCUUUUGGGUUAGGAUCUUGAGUCUCUGUUAAAGCUGGGAUUCAGGGCAUUGCUAUAGUUAAUCAACUGGGGAAUUGCCUUGCUAAAAACAUACAGAACCUGUGAUAAUCCUUUACAUAGAAGCCGACAUAUACAGAUCUUGAUAUGAUAUACAAUGGUUUCUUCAAUAUCCAAUUAUUCUCAUGAAUAAAGUAAUAAUCUGCAUGGAACACGCAGAAAUCCCCGUUGGGUUAAUUUAGUGCCUCAUAGAAAUCAUUUGGGUUUUCUUUUUAAAUAGGGCAAUGCAUGGUCUCUUAUACAACUGCAUGACAUGCACCCUCUCCCCAUUCAUUCAUUCAUGCAUUCAUUCAUUCAUUCAUUCAUUCCCAGGGCCAUGCCUUCUAGCAACAUGACACAGGAGACAAGACCUAUUGGCAGGGCCACAUAAAUGUCUGUCAAGUGCAAGUUACAACUAUCUCAAACCGUAAUACAUUCCUAUGAAGAGAGACAGCACAUUUUUAACUAUUUAACAGUCGAAUAUUGUGAUCUGCUCUUUUUCACUUUGUUAUCUGUUGGAUUUCUAACUGCUGUCUCCGUGUGUGACAAUCCAUAUUACACUGAGUCAGUGGGAAAGUCUGGGCUUUGUAAUAUUUCAGCACUUGAAUUAUUUAUAACGUUAGCUUUACGGCAUAUUAAAUGCAGUUUUAGACAGGUAAAGCUACCUCCCUUCUGCCUUGCUGAAGCUCAUUAAAUGGCCAUCGUGACUGGACAGACUUAAUUGAAUUGCAUCCAAAUAAUUCUGUCAUUUGGAUGCAAACCCAAGUCAAAACAGCCUACCAAAAUCUCGGAGUUAUUUGAUUAGGACUGGCAACUGAUUAAAAGACCCUGUAAGCAGUUUAUUUAUGGCACUUCCGUGCAAAUUUACAAGUAAAAUUAGUGAACUGCAAUAGACUUUGUGACAUGAAAAUAGUUACAAAUUUUGGGUGACACUACUAGUUUCAGGUUUUUUCUUUAAAUAAAUCACUCCAUUUUGGUUCUAGUUUCUCCCUGGAUAAGUAUGGGCUUUUUUGUUUUUAAACAUUAAUCAAAAUCAUUAUCAGACAAGUAUUUUUCUAAGAAUUGUCAGAGAAGCCUCUUAUUCAUCUAUGACAGCAAGUUACUAAAGUAUACAAUUGUUACAUUUAUCUUUGGAUUUGAAUUCACAUUAUCCAGUUGAUAGAAUAAGAGAUUCUCACUUCUCAUUUAUUCCAGUUCUCCCUUCCGGUUCAGGCUUUAGGUGCUUAAGGUAUCCUGCAAAUUUGGUGCUUUUGCAAUCCUGUUAGGAGUCUAUUUGAACCUCUGCUGACUACAUAUCUAUCACUUAGGCCCAGAUUCUUCAGUGCUGCUCUCCUAAAUGGCUAACCCCAAGGUGGGCUCCUGCCUAGUGGAACUUCCAGCUCCAAGCAGAGGUGGGAAGGCUUUCCAUAUAAUACACAAGAAGAGUUUGUGGUAGUGGAAGAGUGCUGUAGCUGUGAUGGUUCAAAAAUUAUGCAAGAGGCAAGGAUUUCUUAGGGUGAUCUCUUUUAUUAGACCAACUGUAUGGUUGUGGGCAGUUUGACAUUGAAGGAAGAGCUUUGCAGGACUUGUCUGUGCUGUCUCACUCCUGCUAAUAUAGCCAGGAAUCAAAUACUGAGGAGUGGGAUUUAAAUAGCUUCUCUGGGGUCUGCUGGUUGUUGGGUCAGGGGCAGACAGAUACCUUUCUCCAUUCUAGAUUCUCAGCCGAAAGUCUCCUGCUGGAGCUCAGGGUCUGACCUAACCUAAAUGACUAUGAAGCCAAUGCCCAAGCAGCUGAAACCACCCUCUUCUGUCUUCUGUUGAUGUUUGAUCCCACUUAUUUGCACUGCAUUUCCAUGUGCCCUUUUUAUGUGCUUCCUUUUUGGUUCUGUGCAGCUUCACUUACCAGUUACUGGCCCCUGGCCUUGUUUAGUGUAGGACCAUCUGGGUAAGGCAUAUGCUAGUCUACAAAAUGGGGCUCAAUUGACAAGAAAAAUGCUAACCUACUUGUUUGAAAAACUCUGCUCAGUGCUACAGCAUCUACUAGAACAGCAGACUUCUUUGGUAGUUGUGAGUUGAUGUCCUUUGCAAAUGAAGACUAACACGCCUUGGUGUGGUUAGGUGGUGGCUGACCAGUAGGCCAAGGUGGUAGCUUUGAAAACAUAAAUGGUACUUCAGUUUCAUUCUUAUGUGCCUCAGGAGGCAAAGCAAUGAAGUCCCUUUAAAGACCUACCCAGUUUCUGCUUCAAUUGUCCAUCUAUAAAAUGGGGAUAUUACUGCUACCUUUGUCCCCUGCUUUGAUUGUCUAUUUACUAUAAACAAAUUAAGACAGGAGCUCCUGCAUUUAGCACAGGGCGAUCCUGCUUUUAGCUGGACCUUUUAGGUAACUCUAUUACAAACAGUAAACAAGCUAAUGGGAAAUGUUGUCAUACCUGGCCUAUAAUUUCCUUGGCUAAUUUACCAUUUUAUAAUAAUUUUCUUUCCCCACUGUAUGUUUGCAGCAUCUCUGAGUGUUUUCUUUUAGAAAGAAUGGGAAAACAGAGGAUCUUUUGCCUAACUGGAGCAAUUUGACAAAUGUCUAGCUGAUGCUUUUUCCACAAGUAGUAUAUUUUCCAAAACCUAAAUAUUCACAUUACUGGGUUUUGAAAGAAAAGUUGCAGAAAGCACAGAUGCCUAAAGGCAGCUAAUGUAUUGUGCACAGUGCUGGGAACAAGAGGUCCUGAGCCCUGUUCCUACUCUGCCACUUGAACCACCUUAUUUCCUUUGAAGUUAUAUUGCAUAUUACUAAUAUAAGCCAGAGGUAAAUAUAACUUUUCCCGUUUUAUGAAUCAAGAAGCCAAGAUUUAAAGGACUGAAGUCUAUGGUCAUGCAAGCCAGUUUCAGGGCCAAAAUUAUAACUUGCUUUUCCUGACUUCCAUGUGUGUAUUUUGUUCAUCAGAAAUAUGUCCCAAAAGCCUUUUAGAGCCUCAAUUUGUCCAUCUGUAAAAUAUGGAGAAUGAUGUUUAUCACAGAUGAAAGCUUCCUAUAUGCAGGCUUUAAGAGUUCCACAGCAUCACAUCUUCAAUAGCAGAUGGCAAAUGUAUUUUAAUGUGGACACCUGCUCAUUAACAAAUGGAUUUCCUACAAUCAGCUCAUUUCUAAAGCAUGGAUAAGGAAAAGGUUUUCUUUCCAUCCUGGGACAAUUUUCAAUAUUUCAGAAAUGUUUCUCUUUGCAGUGGGAUGCAGCCAAAACAUUGCAGGGUUUAUUACAAAUAAAUGGAGUGGGAGACAUGUCCUCCCCACACACACAUUUACAAACACCUGUGAAUUGCCCAGAACUUUCCUGGGAUGUAGAAGAUCCAGGUUUAAGUCCUUUCACUGCUAUUUUCCCACAUCUCAGGCAAAUGCCUGGAAUCCUGAGUUGUAGAAUUAGUGUCCCCUUUUCUGUCCCAAUGAAUACUUAUUUAUGCAAAGUAGAAUAUCACCAGCAGGUGACACUGAAAACAGAAAGCCUGUAUCCAUUCACCUGGGAUGUGGUCAAAAAACAUAAAAGGGAUUUACAUCUGGGGCAAAUUUUUCAUUUUAGACAAGUCCCUUGACCAGCAGUUUAAAAAACCACUUGGGGGAUGAACAUUUUCAAUGUCUUCUGUUGAAGCAGUUUUUCUUUGUAUAAUUAGUUAGAUAUUUAUUGCUCUAGAAUCUGGUCUGACUUAGGUAAAGCAAGGACUAGAAGCUGGAUUUUUCACAUUCACUGUGAAUGCCCUGACCAUUGUGGGGUUUGGUAUUCUGGCACCUUUUUUUUCUCUUUAGAACUGACAAACAAUUAUAUUUUGGGUCACAAACCUUUCUUCCCAAAUUAAGUUUAAUCAAUUUUGAUAAAUUUACACUUUCAGGAAAAACACUGACCGCCUCUACUCUUUUCAGGGUCUGCCCCCCCCCCCCAAAUAUACUAGUAGUCUUUCCAGCUGUUCUAAGUCAUCAGAACUUUUAUUUAAUACCAACUCUGUCCACUUACAUCUUAGUGGUCUGAAAGUGGAGACCUCCCAAAUCAGCUUCCAUGAUAUAUUGUUCUUUUCAUGUAUUUUCAUUUCUGAAAAAGAGAAAUGCAUUGUUUCAUGAAACUGACAUUUCUGCUGCUGAAGUUGUUCAUAAGAGGAUGAAGUUCGUUUGCACAGGAGAGGGAACUUUCACUGGAAUUAGUAUAGACUAUGGGAAGUUUCUAGGCCUGUGUGAAUAGGGAAGUAUUUGAUUCGGAUUUGGAUUCAGCCAAUUCGGAGGACAGUGAUUCAAUUCAGAGAUUUGGAUCACUGUCCCAAAUCAAUUUGGCUGAAUCGGCUUCGGGGGAUUCGGCGCUGAUUCAGUGAGAUCUGGUGAUUCAGCCAUAGACUAUAUUGGGGAAUCACUGAAAUACCAAUAACUUUGUCAUUUUUGGCAGAUUUGGAUGAAAACAGCAGAUAAGGUAUUCUCUUCUGAGGGCAUGAAGCCUGCCAAGUUUCAAGGAGACAGGUGCAGGGGUUUCGGGGAAACUGCACCUCAAACUGCUCAUGUGUGACUUUGUGCAUGUGUUAAGGUGCAGCGGGAUGAAAAUUACAGGAGUAGUAGCUGUUUCUACAUCCCUCCCCCAAAGUACUGUGAUUGGAAGGGGACUCAGAGAAAGAUCACGGUCACUGGCCAGCUACAGAUGUCAGUCUUUCCCCCCCAUGCUCCCUCUCCCUCUUAUCAGUUUCUGUUCCCCUGAAAGACUGCCUUCUGAAUCUCUGAAUCUUUUCCCAAAUCUUUUCUGAAUCAGUUUGGAAGUUCUGAAUUGAUUCAGAGGGUUUUUUGUCUCCCGAUUCGAUUCGGAUUCAAUGAUUUUGGCCUCCGAACUGGGCUGAAUCUUUUCUGAAUCGAAUCGGUGACCAAAGCUUCGCACACCCCUAGUAAUUUCCCUUUGUCUUUCCAUGCUCAGAACCCAAUGCAAAAGUUAUUUUCUCAGUUUCUCUUUCCCUGAAGUAGUUCUAGACAGAAACAUACUACAACUAGCAGUACUGCUACUACAAUUAGUACUAUUAGUACUCUAGGUAUCCUCUACAAAUUACUCAACCUAUUUCUUAGUUAGAAAGGUAGAUUCCAACUCCCCCCUCCCCUCAAAUUUAAAUACUUCAGCUGAGGCAAAUAUAUGUCUACAAACAUUGAAGAUUAAAAAGUUUCAAGUCUUGAUCAAAUCUAUUUUUUAAGUAUUACCAGAAAUGGAAAUGUGCAGUUGAGUCCUAUCUGUGUAAUAUACCUGUCUGUGUAAUAGUGUCAAAUCCUACUCCCCUUAUCCCUGUAAAAUGUCCUCAUGAAAUUUUGGGUGAUGUAAGGCCAAUGACACCAGUAGGCCAAUGAUACCAAAGCCAAGAAGGAAUGGUGAAUUAAAUCUAUUGCCAUGUACAUUAUUAAAGACAUGAUGUAUUGCAAAAAAGAUCUACUCAGGUAUAUUGGUGGACCAUUUGAGACUGAAGCACCUGGCACUAAGCCCUCUGCAGUUGCCUUCAUUCCAUAUAAAAAUGCCUUGCACUGUAAUUCAAGUUAAUGAUAUGCCAGUAGUAGAUUUGGAGAGCUAUAUGAGCUGGGAAAUAAUGGGAGAUGGCUGACAUCCUUAUAAUUAACUGGGCUAUAAAAUAAAGAUGCGCUGAGAUUAACACACUUUCUUGCAGCUAACAAAUGGUGGGGGAAGUACACUUGGGCUGGUUAUAAACUAUUGCAUUUUACAUUUUUAUCAGCUCAAAAGGUAUUUUUUUAAAUUUUGGAAGAUUUUGUAGCAGGCUGAAAAGAAGUCAUGAUGCAAUCUGGCUUGUUUGAAACAUUGCUCUUCAAAAAUAAAGGACAAUAGAUUACAAAAAAGUACUUUUCAAUGUUUUUUGUACCAUCAGGAAAGUAAUCACAAUUGAGAAACUUUCUAUAAGUUUAUUUGUUUUUUCUCUUUCUCUCUCUCUCUUUGUAGUUGAUGGUGCAUCAUGGGUAAUGAUGACUGGGUGAAUGCUGAUUGCCGAAUUUUAAUUUGUCAUUGUCUGUAUGUAUGAAAACAACAGAAAUAUGACCUGACAUGCAAAAUAUUUCAUGCAGUUUUCUUAUUUCCCCUAGGUAAUCCAGCUUGCUACCUAAGUAGUGGAAGCAGGACAAUUAGAUUAAAUGAAGCUAUAUUCUGCUCUGAGAUGGACAUAUCUAUUGUGUAAUUAUGGGUAGCCAUUGUUUUAUUAUGGAACUAAUUUAUCUUGUGAAGAUUUUCACUGUCAGAACUGCCAGUCAAAAUCUAACCCCAACUCAAGUCUCUCAAGGAGAUAGGCCAUGAAGUGGAUCAAAAUAAAACAGUGAAUAUUUUCUUCCCAAAUCUAUGCAUGUAAUUAUUUCUUUUCCAUAGUUCUGCCUGACUUGUACUCAUGGGCCCUGUAAGGGGUUUGCCACUGUUCUUGCUUAGGUUGGCAGAUAAGGUAUGAGGAUUUGGAACUAAGGCAAAAUCUCUGGUUCAUGUGAAUCCUUUGGGACUUUAUUGAUUUACCCCAGGGGAGUAUCGCCUGGUGUUGGAUGGUAGAUGUAAGCUCAUGCUUAAAGCUCAUGAUAUUCUACACAGCCAAGAUCCUUUAUACUGUAAUUAUUUUUCUGCCUUGGCUGGCCAGUCUGCCAGCUGGGUGUGUACAUGUCGUGUGCUGGGGCAGUCCUCAAGAUUCCCAACAGAAACACAGUUCUCCACAUUUUUAGUGCCUCAGUGAUAGAGUAAAUGUCUGAGUGUAGUGGACUCCUUAAAAUUAUUCCUUUGUGAAUCUGUUUUCCUUUCAGAAAAACUAUUUUUGUUACUUUGGAACCCUGUUAACUUAAUUAAAUAUUUGCAGUGUAUAAAUGUUUUCAAAUUAAACACUGACUCCAUAAAGUCAUCCCAGGUGCUAACUUAGCUUCAGGUCAUUAAUUCUAUUAUUUUAUGCAUUAAUACAUAUGAAGGGACUUUUGUUCUUUCUCUCUGUCUACCCAAGUGCCUGAAGUGAACUUUUUUUCUCUACUCCAGCUAAAUUACUAAUUAGUUCGAGGCACACCAGAGAUGAGAGCCUUUGAGAUUUUGAGAACUUGUGUUUUCAAUCCAAGUUUAUUAAGACAAUACUCAGUGCUCUUGUUGAGAGUUAUAAAAACAUGAUAUUCCUUGUUUUUGUUGGGUAGUGUCAGGACUAAACUGUUGAUUAAAACAGGCACAGUAUAAUCAAAAGGUAAAUUAAUUAUGUUAAUCUAUUAAUACAGUUGCUUUAAUUAGAGAAUUCUUCUUUGACCACUGUACAUUUCUAAUCAGAGCAAUGGUGUUAUCUGUGACAAAACUUUACAGUCUUCUGGAAACACUUAUUUGCUGAGGCUUCAUGAGUGCCAACUCAUGGUACCAAACUUUUGGCACUUGACAAUAAUCACCUAAGUCACCUAUGAAGUGAUAUAAGUCCUGACAGUUCUGAGAGGUAAUUGCACAGCAGACAGAGUGCUGAUUCACUGAAUCUGUCUCUUCAAUUUUCUUUAAUAAUAGGUACUAACUUAAUGUGCGAUAAGCGGUGCUACUAUGCAGUAGUGCAGGUGCAUGUCUUUUACAUGAUGCUAAUACACAGUAGACUAAUUCUACCGCGCAUUAGCACAUUAGCAGGGCUUUUGCCUGUCAUAACCCAAUGAUUUUUAGUGCCUCGGCACAUUGGAAUUUUCCUGCCACAUGGAGCUUUCUUUGCACGCUGGAUUUCUCAGCUGCAGAGAGAAAUCCCCGGUGCAAAGAGUUCCUGCCACACACAUGCAAAUUCAUACCCCAUUAUUGACUGAUUCUAAAUUAUUCCUACGUGGCGGCUAGCAAUUGGCUCGCUAGCCGUAUAAAAGAUUAGAGCAGCUUCCGCCCAAGUUGGAGGACUCCACAACCAUCUCGUGGAGAACUCUGAGUGCGCUGUGGAGCCUAGCAAACUCCGCGUGUGUCUUGGAGGAGGACAGAGAGGCCUGAUCAGCUCUUAGCCACUCCCUGUCAUAGUGUAAUUUGACGUAUUCCCCGUGUGAAAAAGCGCUCGUGGAGUCAUAUAUCGACGACUCAUCUCGGUUCGGUGAGGUUCAGAAGAGAUCUCACUUGUGUUUGUUUGUCUGCAACUGCAACUCAAGCAAGUUUCCUCCCUGCACUGUGACCAUCGGCAGUGUAAGUAAAGCUUUCUUUAUAAAACCAAUAUGCUGUCUCGCCUCUCCAUCCACCAGCCCGCCUGACGUUCGCUUAAUUAACCAGUGUUUCCCUCGGUUGGCUCCACCCGGCCGAGACAUUGCCGUGGUGUGCUAAUGUGCAGUAGAAUUAGUCUACUGCACUUUUCGCAUUUUGUGUAGAUAUGCCUAGUUACUGAUAAGUAAUUUUUCUUUUCAAAUGUACAAGAUACUUCAGGAUUUCACAAAAGAAUUGCAAUGGACACCUGAAAUUAAGCAUCAAAAUGGCCAUUUCCACUUCUCAGUCAACAAACAGAUUUUGUCUUCUGUUGAGAAUUGGAUCUGGUGAAGAUGACUUUUUCAACAGUAUCCAUUUAUCUGUACAUAAAGGUUUGGAGCUCCAUGUUGUCUGGGGAAGACUUCAAAAGCCAAGGCAGAAGAGAUGUGACCAAAAAAAAAAAAAAAAGG